UACGGAGGGUGCAAGCGUUAUCCGGAUUUACUGGGCUUAAAGGGUGCGUAGGUGGGUUGGUAAGUCAGUGGUGAAAUCUCCGAGCUUAACUUGGAAACUGCCAUUGAUACUAUCAGUCUUGAAUAUUGUGGAGGUCAGCGGAAUAUGUCAUGUAGCGGUGAAAUGCUUAGAUAUGACAUAGAACACCAAUUGCGAAGGCAGCUGGCUGCUCAUAUAUUGACACUGAGGCACGAAAGCGUGGGGAUCAAACAGG
rnacentral:rRNA from 1 species